UAUGUGUGUGGUGCAUCUAUCCUUGCUGCAGAAAAUGAUAAUGUUGAUAGGUUAAUGCAGUUUUUAAUGGGACUUAUUGACUCUCAUGAGAAUGUUAGAAAUCAGAUCCUUUUAAUGCAUUCUCUUCCUAGUGUGAACAAUGCGUAUUCUAUGGUGCUUAAGAUUGAAAACAAGGAGGUUCCCAUUAGUGAGGAAUUUAAUUUUGCAAAUGCUGUUAGAACUCAAAAUUUCAAGGAGUCUGAUGGAAUCAAUCAUUACGAGAAAAGGGACUUAGGUAAAAAAGAGAAUAGGUUGUGUACCUACUGUAAUUCUAGUGGGUCACAUUAGCAAUACAAGCUUUAAACUCCAUGGAUAUCCUGAGUGGUUUACUGAGUACAAGAGCAAGAAGAGUAAAGGGAAAACUAAUACAAUUGCUCAAGUUAGUGAAACUCCACUUGACUGUGAUUCUGACAUGUCUCAGAAGAACUAUGGAGCAUUGCAAGAAAUUAUGAAGUUUAUGAAGAGUUAGAAUGCUUCUAACAUUCAUGAAGCUAGAUGUGUAAGCUUCUCUAACUUUGUAGGUAAUAAUCCCAGUUGUUACUCAUUUGAAUCUGCUGCUAAACAGGAAGGUAUGUGGAUAGUAGACACAGGGGCCAUUUCUCACAUGUGUAAUGAUUUUCAUUCUUUUGUCAAGCCUUUGAAAAUAAAUAGACCUAGUUCUGUUGUUUUACCUAAUGGCACAAAUAGAAUAGUAACUCAUAUAGGAUCUAUCAACUUACACCCAAAAUUGCAGUUAAAAGAGGUACUGUAUACACCAUAUUUCAAACAUAACCUCAUCUUAGUCAGUAAACUAACCCAAACAUCAAAUAUAGCUGCUAAAAUUUCCUGUAAAUACUAUAUUUUGC
rnacentral:misc_RNA from 1 species